UGUACACAAGACUGGGAGUAUUGUUCCUGUAAAUGAAUGUAGUAUUUUAAAAGUAACCUUCUUACCUGAACAGUUUUCCCCUAUUUGCAAGCCAAUUGAACAUUUCAUUGUGGUGGGGGUGGCACGCUGGACUCUGUAGAAUCGGCUUCUAGCAUUCAAAGGAGCCACUGGAAAUGAAAGUGUGACUAUACAUCAGCAUGCUGGCACCGUGUUUUAGCUGAUGAAACAACAGUAAACCUCACAGCAUCGACCAGGGAAGUUUGUAACAGUGAAUGUUCCUGUCGAUUGAAAAUUGAUCUUUUCCAAGGGACAUUCUAAAAGAUUAAGCAGGCAUCUUUAGGCAUGAGACUCAGGUCACCUCCAUCCUGCAAGUAGCAUGCUUGAUUUUAUUUCUGUUUUUGUUUUUAGAUCUGCAGCUUCAGCCAAGACCUGUGUCUCUCAGACCACUGAAUUUUAUCUCUUCUACCAACUUUGAAAAUAUGUAAGUCACAAGCUGCAUUGAUAUAUGAAAAAAUAGAUAGUGAAAUAUAGAUGAUAAUGACUAUACUCGCAUCAAGUUGAAGAGAAAAAUACCUGUCUCUAUAGACAUUUCAUAGCUUAUUGAUAUUUGCAAUAAUAUAUUUUGUUCUUGUCCUCAAAAUCUGCUACAAAACAACUGACCUUUUCUUUUUAAAUAAUGUAUAUAAUUUCUUUUUUGAUGGACUAGAACCAUAGGGCCUGGUCACGCCCUAUUAAAUACUAUCGAUGGAAGCGGAGUACAACUUGAAGUAAUGUCAGCCAAAUAUCUUUCUGUCAAAUUACCAUUUUCAAGUCUGAAUAAACUAUACAGUAAAGAGAAAAGAAAACCAAGCCCUACAGGACAAUCUAG